AUAAGACCCUGCUGAAAUAAAGUAAAAUAAGAAAAACACAGCCGGGCUUUGGUGGCACAUGCCUUUAAUCCCAGCACUCGGAAGGCAGAGGCAGGCAGAUCUCUGUGAGUUCAAGACCAGCCUGGUCUGCAAGUGCUAGUUCCAGGACAGCCUCCAAAGCCUCAGAGAAACCCUGUCUCGAAAAACCAAAAAGAAAAAAAAGAAAAGAAAAAUACACACAAUUUUUUUUUAAACCUCCUCCAACUGGGUCAGGAGUGAUGUCAUAUGCUUGUAAUUGCAGCACUCAAGAAGCAGAGGAGGAUCAGGAAUUGAAGGCCAGCUUCGGCUACAAAUCUUUAGCCUACAGGCCCUGUACAUUUCCAUCAACUCUUCUCAGUGGAAGGAUUGCCUGGAGCAAUGUCAUGUGUCUGGAAAAAUUGUCUUCUCAAUCGUCAAGGAAGUCAAAGAGUCUCUUCUUAAGCCUGUGUGGGAUGACCUGGUUUACUCAGCAUUCUGCCAUCCAUUAGUGUUCUUUCCAUAAGCAAACAGUCCAGGGAGGCCAGGCUAGGGGAGCCUUUCAGAUUAGCUAGGAAAAUGGAGACUUAGAAAGUUAAAGCCUCUGCCAUGUGGCUGAGCUUCUGUUCACCCAAGACUCCAUCUUUAAGUCCUCCAUCAGGCUGCCUACAGAUCCUAUGUUCUUCCCCACAGGAUUCAAAUGUUCCUCUUUAUUCUCUGUCUGGGAAUUUAUCCAUCCUUAUAUAUUUUUUCAACUUGUCCAACUCUUCACAGCAUUCAGAUCCACUGAAUUAGUAAUUUCCCUUUGUGUGUGUGUGUGUGUGUGUGUGUGUGUGUGUGUGUGUGUGUGUGUGAGAGAGAGAGAGAGAGAGAGAGAGAGAGAGAGACAGAGACAGAGACAGAGACAGAGACAGAGACAGACAGAGACAGAGAGGGGAGGAAGGGUGGGAGACAGACAGACAGACAGACAGACAGACAGUGUUUCACUAAGCAGCUCUGGCUGUCCUAGAACACACUAUGCAGACCAGGCUGGCCUCGAACUCACAGAGACAUGCCUGCCUUUACCUCCUGAGUGGUGAUGUUAAAAGCUUAAGGUUGACAGGAGCAGAAGAAGAUUCCCAAGGUCAACCUCUGGCCUCCAUAUACAUAUAUGCACACAUGUGUGCAAACACAUACACAUGUAAAUAACACACACAUGAAUACAAACACCAUGUGGGAACAUUUUACACCUCAAAGACAGAAGAGACACAAUGAUAGACUAAGGAAUAGUACAUUUAGCUUGAUUUAGCUUUAUGAACUUACAAAUCAUUUUGAUAUUUCUUGUCCUAUAGAAAUCUGAGUGAAACACUUUAUCAGGCAUUUGCUCUAGGGCUGGCAUUUGGAAUCACUGCUCUGGGAGUUAUAACAUCAUUUUUACGUGAUAUCUUUGGCCCGGUACCCUUGACUCUGGCUGUGUUCAGAUCUGGAGAAUCUAGCUUCAGAAGACACACAGACAGACCAACAAUAAAGUUUUUUUUAAACAUAUCAGUGGGUGCCAAGACUUCUGAAUCAUUCUUCCUGUAUACACAACUGGAAGCUGUGAACACGAUGUCAUUAGGUAUCUUUGGAGUAGGACUGUAGUUGUAAUGGUUGGGACAACAUACUAAUCCCAAUAAGUCUGGGCUAGGAAUAAUGGAGUCAGCAGAGACAAAUAUCUGAUUGGAUGCUGUGUUAUGACUGCAACCCAGGCAGAAUCUGUCAUCCACAGGUGAGAUUCUCAUUUUUGUAUGUAACCAAACUCCAUUUUAAAAGAACCUUCCCUAUUGUGAACUAUAAGGCAGGUAUGAAUGUCUUUAUAAAGCCCAAACAAGGGAUGGAGGAUGGUAACAAUUUAUUUUGGGGGCCAGGCAUUGUUGGCACAGGCCUUUAAUCCCAGCACUUGGGAGGCAGAGGCAGGCGGAUCUCUGUGAGUUCGAGACCAGCCUGAUCUACAAGAGCUAGUUCCAGAACAGCCUCCAAACCCACAGAGAAACCCUGUCUCAGAAAAAAAAAAAUUUUGCGCCCCUACUAUGUGUGAGACACAAGCAGGCAAAACUAAUGCCAUUUGUGAUUACCCUGAAUGGUAAAGUAGUUAGCCUUCUGGCACAAGUGAGGAAAUUAAGGCAGAUACAAAACCUGAACAAGGUCACAAAACUAGAGGUUGGUAGAACUGAAGACUAUUUGACUCCGACACAAUGCACACUACAUAAUAUUAUAGGGUAAAAAAAGAACCAAGAUGUACAGCCCCAGCAUUUUUCAGUGUGGUGAAAUACAGACAAUUGGAACUAAAAAUACUCACAGUAUAAAACUAGAGGAGAACUUUUGAACUUGAUAAAUAAAGAUCAUCACUGUAAAUUUAAAACCUACAUUGAGUUGGGUGUGG
rnacentral:lncRNA from 1 species